UACGGAGGGGGCUAGCGUUGUUCGGAAUUACUGGGCGUAAAGCGCACGUAGGCGGCUUUGUAAGUUAGAGGUGAAAGCCCGGAGCUCAACUCCGGAAUUGCCUUUAAGACUGCAUCGCUAGAAUUGUGGAGAGGUGAGUGGAAUUCCGAGUGUAGAGGUGAAAUUCGUAGAUAUUCGGAAGAACACCAGUGGCGAAGGCGACUCACUGGACACAUAUUGACGCUGAUGCGCGAAAGCCAGGGGAGCGAACGGG
rnacentral:rRNA from 1 species